AACUUGGCAGAGAUGCCUUGGUGCCUUCGGGAACGCUGAGACAGGUGCUGCAUGGCUGUCGUCAGCUCGUGUUGUGUAAAUGUUGGGUUAAGUCCCGCAACGAGCGCAACCCUUAUCCUUUGUUGCCAGCGAUUCGGUCGGGAACUCAAAGGAGACUGCCGGUGAUAAACCGGAGGAAGGUGGGGAUGACGUCAAGUCAUCAUGGCCCUUACGAGUAGGGCUACACACGUGCUACAAUGGCGCAUACAAAGAGAAGCGACCUCGCGAGAGCAAGCGGACCUCAUAAAGUGCGUCGUAGUCCGGAUCGGAGUCUGCAACUCGACUCCGUGAAGUCGGAAUCGCUAGUAAUCGUGGAUCAGAAUGCCACGGUGAAUACGUUCCCGGGCCUUGUACACACCGCCCGUCACACCAUGGGAGUGGGUUGCAAAAGAAGUAGGUAGCUUAACCCUCGGGAGGGCGCUUACCACUUUGUGAUUCACGACUGGGGUGAAGUCGUAACAAGGUAAGCGUAGUGCU
rnacentral:rRNA from 1 species